CUCCGUAUAGCUCAGUUUGGUAGAGCGCAUCAUUUGGGAUGAUGAGGUCUGAUGUUCAAAUCAUCAUGCGGAGA
rnacentral:tRNA from 1 species